CACGUAAGGGGCGAGCGUUGUUCGGAAUUAUUGGGCAUAAAGGGCACGCAGGCGGUUGUGCAAGUCUGAUGUGAAAGACCUGGGCUCAACUCAGGGAACGCGUUGGAAACUGCAUGACUAGAGUAUUAGAGGGGGAGUCGGAAUUCCUAGUGUAGGGGUGAAAUCUGUUGAUAUUAGGAAGAACACCGGUGGCGAAGGCGGCUCUCUGGGACGGUACUGACGCUGAGACGCGAAAGCGUGGGGAGCGAACAGG
rnacentral:rRNA from 1 species